UCUCCGUUGGUGAACCAGCGGAGGGAUCAUUACAGAGUUGCAAAACUCCCAACCCUUGUGAACAUACCCGUUACAGUUGCUUCGGCGGGCAGCCCCAGGGCGGGGCUGCAGCCUCUUCUCACGAGGCGCCCGCCGGAGGUAUAUAACUCUUUGUAUUUGUUGGUCUCUCUGAGUAGAUUUAUAAUAAGUCAAAACUUUUAACAACGGAUCUCUUGGUUCUG
rnacentral:misc_RNA from 1 species